GGAAUCUCCGGGAUGGAUGGAUGGAUGGCAGUGGUACCCAAUAGGUUUGCAGAAGGGAGUGAUGAAAAAUAGGGGAUUGGGGGGGAGAGAAAGAGGUUCAUGCAGCAGGUCAAAGAGAUGGAGACGGUGUAGGGCGGUGGGUCAGGCAGGCAAGGCAGUCCAAUGGGGGUCAGGAUGGGGAAGAGAACCAUGAGUGUUGAGGGGGUGGGUGAAUUGUGAGCACAGCCCACAGGGUGUUUUUUUUGGGGGGGGAAGGGAUGGGGGAGAGAAUCACCUUUGCCAAACAAGAGCGUUGACUUGUGUCUGUUCCCUUUGCCCCAAACUAAUGUAUGCAAUUUGGGGGGUGGCACGAACUCGUGGAAUAUGACGCAACCCCCCUUUUCCUGCUGUUCUCAGUCCUGUGCUCCAAAUCACUAAGGUAGGUUGGAAGCCCUGCUUUCAAUACCCUUGUUUGUGAUGGGAACAGCUCCUGACCCGUUUCACCAGGCACCGUAUUGUUCGCUCUAUAAGACGCAUUUCCCCCCCUCCUGAAAAGUAAGGGGAAUUGUGUGUGCGUCUUAUGGAGCGAAUGCAGGCUGUGCGGCUAUCCCAGAAGCCAGAACAGCAAGAGGGAUCGCUGCGCAGCGCUCCCUCUCGCUGUUCUAGCUUCUGGCUUAGCCCCUCAGUCCCUUCCCCCACCUCCCGGAAAAGCCCCCAAGAGCCGCGCUCCCUUUAAAGAGCCGCGUGGAGUGUGAGUGCGGCUCUUGGGGAAAAGCUUGAAAGUGCCGCACACACGUUCCACGCGGCUCUGCUCAGCGCUCCCUUUAAAGAAGUUUUUCCCCCUUGCAUUCCCCCUCUAAAAAAUAGGUGCGUCUUAUGGUCAGGUGUGUCUUAUGUCGCAAAAAAUACGGUCAUCAAAUCAGCACUAUGUACCUAAACGGGUGGGCAAGGGAAUCCAGUCUUGGCCUGCCUUGGGUGUAUGCACCCGAGUUGGUCUCCAAAGUGGUUUUCUUCAGACCACACCUGUCUGCCAUCCAGCUGAUGUCACUGUGGGCAAUACGCUGGCAAAUCAGAUCCCUGCAGCUGGCAGGAUUGGACCCUGUUUGCCAGUUGGUGAGCAGAAUGUUCCUGUUCAGUUUGCAGGCGGCCAAAAUACAGUGUGCAGUUUCUUUGCUUCCACGUAGCUCUGUGCUAUUCUUCACAGUCCCAACAUAACGCUUCAAAAUGCAGCGUCUUGUAAUGUCACUGCAAUUAACCAAACAAUUUAACCCCUGUGUUGCAAACAAGAGUCAGUAAUAUCCAAGGGAACACGAUGACCAAAUACAAUGAUACGAUAUCAAUAUACACUCUUUAUAUAGUAUGAAAUAUAUGAAAUCACAUAAACAGAAAACUUACGAAUCUCUGAAAGUCACUAAAUAUGCACUCUUAAUGGAUUUCAUAUAUUUCAUAUUAUAUAAAGGGUGUAUAUUGAUAUCGUAUCGUCGUAUUUGGUCACCCUGUUGCCUUGAAUGUCACUGCGAUUGACAGCUGUGUGGCUCCACCUUCCUUUCCAAUUUACACGCCCCGGGGUGGGAAGAUUGGGAUCUGGUCCGGCGGACCAGUUUACAGGUACAAAACGUGUGUCGAGUGUGCCUGAGACCCCAUGUAGCAAAGGUGGAAGGUGGGGGGGGGCAGAGAGAGAGAGACAGGAUCAGGGAGUGGGUGGGAGAGGAAAGGAAAACUUUUAAAUACUUUUUUUAACAUUCGCCCACAGAACAAAAAGCACAAACCAAUUGCACAGAGCCACCAGCCAAAUGCGUCUGAGAGAUUAAGAAACAACCGUACAGACAGGCAAAAAAAAAAAAAAAAAAAAAAAGGAACAACACACAGCACAGGCAAGAAAAUCAUAGAAAAGAACAGGCCACAGCGAUAUGGUGACA